UGAGUAACGCGUAGGAAUCUACCCAGUAGCGGGGGAUAGCCCGGGGAAACUCGGAUUAAUACCGCAUACGCCCCAAGGGGGAAAGCAGGGGAUCUUCGGACCUUGCACUAUUGGAUGAGCCUGCGUUGGAUUAGCUUGUUGGUGGGGUAAUGGCCUACCAAGGCGACGAUCUUUAACUGGUCUGAGAGGAUGAUCAGUCACACUGGAACUGAGACACGGUCCAGACUCC
rnacentral:rRNA from 1 species